rnacentral:rRNA from 1 species
GACGAACGCUGGCGGCGUGCUUAACACAUGCAAGUCGAACGGAAAGGCCCUGCUUUUGUGGGGUGCUCGAGUGGCGAACGGGUGAGUAACACGUGAGUAACCUGCCCUUGACUUUGGGAUAACUUCAGGAAACUGGGGCUAAUACCGGAUAGGAGCUCCUGCUGCAUGGUGGGGGUUGGAAAGUUUCGGCGGUUGGGGAUGGACUCGCGGCUUAUCAGCUUGUUGGUGGGGUAGUGGCUUACCAAGGCUUUGACGGGUAGCCGGCCUGAGAGGGGGACAGGCAACAUUGGAAUGGAGACAGGACACAGACUCACACGGGAGGCAGGAGUGGGAAAUAGGGCAAAAGGGGCGGAGGCGUGAUGCAGCAACGCCGCGCGAGGGAUAACGGCCGUGGGUGUGAAGGCCGUUUGCGGAUGAAACGAAGCGGGAGGGAAGGUAAGGGGUAAAGAGGCACGGGCUAACUGCGCG